ACCCUACGGGAGGCAGCAGUGGGGAAUAUUGCACAAUGGAGGAAACUCUGAUGCAGCAACGCCGCGUGGAGGAUGACACAUUUCGGCGCGUAAACUCCUUUUAUAUGGGAAGAUAAUGACGGUACCAUAUGAAUAAGCACCGGCUAACUCCGUGCCAGCAGCCGCGGUAAUACGGAGGGUGCAAGCGUUACUCGGAAUCACUGGGCGUAAAGCGCGCGCAGGCGGUCUUUUAAGUUGGAUGUGAAAGCCUACGGCUCAACCGUAGAACUGCAUCCAAAACUAUUAGACUAGAGUGUGGGAGAGGAAGAUGGAAUUAGUUGUGUAGUGGUAAAAUCCGUAGAGAUAACUAGGAAUACCAAAAGCGAAGGCAAUCUUCUGGAACAGUACUGACGCUGAGGCGCGAAAGCGUGGGGAGCAAACAGGAUUAGAUACCCUGGUAGUCCACGCCCUAAACGAUGAAUGUUAGUCGUUGGAAGGCUAGUCCUUUCAGUGAUGCAGCUAACGCAUUAAACAUUCCGCCUGGGGAGUACGGUCGCAAGAUUAAAACUCAAAGGAAUAGACGGGGACCCGCACAAGUGGUGGAGCAUGUGGUUUAAUUCGAAGAUACGCGAAGAACCUUACCUAGCCUUGACAUAUAUUAGAACUCCGCAGAGAUGCAGAGGUGCCUUCGGGAGCUUUUAUACAGGUGCUGCACGGCUGUCGUCAGCUCGUGUCGUGAGAUGUUGGGUUAAGUCCCGCAACGAGCGCAACCCUCGUCACUAGUUACUAACGGUUCGGCCGAGGACUCUAGUGAGACUGCCUUCGUAAGGAGGAGGAAGGUGAGGACGACGUCAAGUCAUCAUGGCCCUUACGGCUAGGGCAACACACGUGCUACAAUGGCCAGGACAGUGAGACGCGAUACCGCGAGGUGGAGCAAAUCUAUAAACCUGGUCUCAGUUCGGAUUGUAGUCUGCAACUCGACUAC
rnacentral:rRNA from 1 species